GCCCAGACCAUCGGAGAGGAAAGAUGUAAGCUGCCCCGCUGGAAAAGAUGUGGUCUCACUGUGAAGCUCAAGCUGGUUUUGAACCUGUAGCAACCCUCCAGCCUCAACCUCCCAAAGGCUAGCAUUUUUUAGGAGUGAACACCAUGCCCUGUUUAAGAAGUCCCAGGUCUUGCUAAUCGCGUCCACGGGUCUUCAGUUUUGAGUAACUAUGAGGAUGGGAUUCAGAGCCUUCAGAUACCACAGCGUGACAGGCUUGUGAGCUCAGCAUUUCUCCUGCCCAUGUGACCGCCUCUCAUACUUACAAGUCUCCCGCUCUAUCACAAGGAUCCCCUUCACUUCCUCACUUCACUGAAGACCCACAUUGGACCUGGACCAGAAAGGAAGUGUGACUAAUAGGUCCAAACAUGCCAUCUAGAUGAUAUUACCAAAUAAGAUAUAGGGAGAAACACCAAGACAGAAAAGAGAGUUAGAAACUCGGAUGGGAUGAGUAACUGGGACUAGGGUCAUGGCUGAGGAAUAGAGAUCUUGCCUAAGAUGAGCAAGGACUUGGCUCCCAUUCCCAGCAUCACAGAAACAAGAGAUUAAAAAUAAUAAUAAUAAAAUUAUUUUU